rnacentral:sRNA from 1 species
UGAAAACGGCAAUCGGCGGGGAAAAGGA